GCCUGAGUGGUGGAAUUGGUAGACACAAGAGACUUAAAAUCUCUCGGCUGUAUAGUCAUGCGGGUUCGAGUCCCGCCUCAGGUACCA
rnacentral:tRNA from 1 species